rnacentral:lncRNA from 1 species
AAAAAAAAAAAAGCUGGGUGUAAAAUAAAUAAGGUAUCAUUACUUUCUAUCUAUUGACACAUGUAAAUGGUUGUGGCUGUUGGUCCGGAGGGCCCCGCUCAGUAAAUAUCAUAAUGUUUCACCUACUAAAGGAAGGCAUGCAAGACAGGACUGAUCAGAAGACCCGGGGAGUUCCCGUCAUGGCUCGGUGGUUAACGAACUGGACUAGUAUCCGUGAGGAUGCGGGUUCGAUCCCUGGUCUCCCUCAGUGGGUUAAGGAUCCAGCGUUGCCGUGAGCUCUGGUGUAGGUAGGUCGCAGACGAGGCUGGGAUCCCACUGGCUGUGGCUGUGGCCGGCAGCUGUAUCUCCACGUGGCUGUGGCUGUGGCCGGCAGCUGUAUCUCCGCUUCGACCCCUAGCCUGGGAACCUCCAUAUGCUGCAGGUGUGGCCCAAAAAAGACAAAAGACAAAAAAGAAAAAAAAAGAAAAAAGAAGAUGACUGUGGAUAUCACUCUUUGCAUCUACUGUAGGACAAGGAAGAGCUCAUCAUUACGUCAUUCGUUGCAGAUACGAAAAUAUUCUGACCUUGUGUUCUGCCUUGGCUUCAGCCAGAUGCCCACAAAAAUAUGAGGAUUCAAGACUGGGCCACUUCAGGAUUCAUGGCAGUCAGGGUAUGUUCUAGGAGAGACCUGCAACCAGCUUGGCUUCUCCCCCCUCUUCUCAUGCUGUGGUAUCCGCCAAGAGAUAAGAACCACGGGCACAUCUGCGUUUUUCCAGAGGGCCCCUCAGCUUCUCUGAACGUUAUGACACAGAUCCACUGAGUACAGAUCCAAAGACCCCUCCUCCAGGAAGCCUGCCCAGAGAAACUUCCCUACGCGAGCUCUCCAACACCUGCGAGACAGCGCCCCUGCUCCGCAAAUGUGAGUUUAGAGACGUUUCAUCCUCCGUACGGAAUGGACACUCCUCCAACAUGGCGGACCCCAUAGGGAAGCACAACAUGGGCGCGGCCAUGUUCGGCGCUUGAUAGCGCAGCCGAGGGCCACCGAAGGCCCCCCCAAACACAGACUCCGUAACAUCCCCAUGUUGACGCUUGGCUGACCGCGGCUUCGAAUGUGGUUUUGCGCGUGCGCAGGACCACGCCCCUUCGUGCGAAGUCCCAAACCCGGAGAAGGGGCGGUGCUAGGGGUGGUGACCGGAAGCAACUGCGGUUCUCAGCCGAGGUUUAGUAGUUGUUGUCAAGAGGAUCUCGGUGCUGUGUACCGGAGGGAUGCGGAGGUGAUGGGGACUUGGGGAGGGUAAGUGUUGUGGAAUUCUGUGUGGUCAGUGAUGGAAUCGGUUUUCUGAAUGUAGUCGGAUGACUCGCUCGUUGUUUUUUAGGCUUUCCUCUUUUCUCAUAUCAACAUUAAGGUCCUAAAGUUCACUCUGAGACCCACAAGGUUUGGCGCAUUAUAUCCCAAGUGUUUUUUUAGGAGUUGAUCAUUUUUAUUUUGCCCAUGAAUUCUUUAGAAGUGCGUUUUCGUUUCACUAAAGUUUAUCUUUUAAAGAGACUUCUAACCUUAGUUUUCUGUGGUCGGAAAAAUGUCUACGUGAAGCUCAUUUCUUGAAAUCUGAGGGGGACUCAUGGCCUAGUCCUUGGUGAAUUUUUUAAAAUAAAAGUUCCAUGUAUAAUUCGAAAAUAAUAUUU